rnacentral:rRNA from 1 species
UACGGGGGGGGCAAGCGUUGUUCGGAAUUACUGGGCGUAAAGGGCUCGUAGGCGGCCAACUAAGUCGGAUGUGAAAUCCCCAGGCUCAACCUGGGAACUGCAUCCGAUACUGGAUGGCUUGAAUCCGGGAGAGGGAUGCAGAAUUCCAGGUGUAGCGGUGAAAUGCGUAGAUAUCUGGAGGAAUACCGGUGGCGAAGGCGGCAUCCUGGACCGGCAUUGACGCUGAUGAGCGAAAGCCAGGGGAGCAAACGGG